UACGAAGGGGGCUAGCGUUGCUCGGAAUCACUGGGCGUAAAGCGCACGUAGGCGGCUUCUUAAGUCAGGGGUGAAAUCCUGGAGCUCAACUCCAGAACUGCCUUUGAUACUGAGGAGCUUGAGUCCGGGAGAGGUGAGUGGAACUGCGAGUGUAGAGGUGAAAUUCGUAGAUAUUAGGAAGAACACCAGUGGCGAAGGCGGCUCACUGGUCCGGUACUGACGCUGAGGUGCGAAAGCGUGGGGAGCAAACAGG
rnacentral:rRNA from 1 species